rnacentral:rRNA from 1 species
UCGAGCGAAUGGAUUAAGAGCUUGCUCUUAUGAAGUUAGCGGCGGACGGGUGAGUAACACGUGGGUAACCUGCCCAUAAGACUGGGAUAACUCCGGGAAACCGGGGCUAAUACCGGAUAACAUUUUGAACCGCAUGGUUCGAAAUUGAAAGGCGGCUUCGGCUGUCACUUAUGGAUGGACCCGCGUCGCAUUAGCUAGUUGGUGAGGUAACGGCUCACCAAGGCAACGAUGCGUAGCCGACCUGAGAGGGUGAUCGGCCACACUGGGACUGAGACACGGCCCAGACUCCUACGGGAGGCAGCAGUAGGGAAUCUUCCGCAAUGGACGAAAGUCUGACGGAGCAACGCCGCGUGAGUGAUGAAGGCUUUCGGGUCGUAAAACUCUGUUGUUAGGGAAGAACAAGUGCUAGUUGAAUAAGCUGGCACCUUGACGGUACCUAACCAGAAAGCCACGGCUAACUACGUGCCAGCAGCCGCGGUAAUACGUAGGUGGCAAGCGUUAUCCGGAAUUAUUGGGCGUAAAGCGCGCGCAGGUGGUUUCUUAAGUCUGAUGUGAAAGCCCACGGCUCAACCGUGGAGGGUCAUUGGAAACUGGGAGACUUGAGUGCAGAAGAGGAAAGUGGAAUUCCAUGUGUAGCGGUGAAAUGCGUAGAGAUAUGGAGGAACACCA